rnacentral:rRNA from 1 species
GAUGAACGCUGGCGGCGUGCCUAAUACAUGCAAGUCGAGCGAACAGACGAGGAGCUUGCUCCUCUGACGUUAGCGGCGGACGGGUGAGUAACACGUGGAUAACCUACCUAUAAGACUGGGAUAACUUCGGGAAACCGGAGCUAAUACCGGAUAAUAUAUUGAACCGCAUGGUUCAAUAGUGAAAGACGGUUUUGCUGUCACUUAUAGAUGGAUCCGCGCCGCAUUAGCUAGUUGGUAAAGUAACGGCUUACCAAGGCAACGAUGCGUAGCCGACCUGAGAGGGUGAUCGACCACACUGGAACUGAGACACGGUCAAGACUCCUACGGGAGGCAGCAGUAGGGAAUCUUCCGCAAUGGGCGAAAGCCUGACGGAGCAACGCCGCGUGAGUGAUGAAGGUCUUCGGAUCGUAAAACUCUGUUAUUAGGGAAGAACAAAUGUGUAAGUAACUAUGCACGUCUUGACGGUACCUAAUCAGAAAGCCACGGCUAACUACGUG